GAUGAACGCUGGCGGCGUGCCUAAUACAUGCAAGUCGAGCGAACAGACGAGGAGCUUGCUCCUCUGACGUUAGCGGCGGACGGGUGAGUAACACGUGGAUAACCUACCUAUAAGACUGGGAUAACUUCGGGAAACCGGAGCUAAUACCGGAUAAUAUAUUGAACCGCAUGGUUCAAUAGUGAAAGACGGUUUUGCUGUCACUUAUAGAUGGAUCCGCGCCGCAUUAGCUAGUUGGUAAGGUAACGGCUUACCAAGGCAACGAUGCGUAGCCGACCUGAGAGGUUGAUCGGCCCCACUGGACCUGGGACCCGUCCCAGCCCCCUCCGGGGGGCAGCGGUGGGGAUUCUUCCGCAUUGGGCGAAAGCCUAACGGGGCAACGCGGCGUGGGUGAUGAAGGUCUUCGGUCCGUAAACUCUGUUAUUAGGGAAGAGCAAAUGUGUAAGUAACUAUGCACGUCUUGACGGUACCUAAUCAGAAAGCCACGGCUAACUACGUG
rnacentral:rRNA from 1 species